UGUUAAAAAUUCAUCUAUUCUACUGUUAAAAACUGGUGUAGCUAACAGAAUAACUAGACAAUUACAUGUGACAUGUCAUGUGUAUCUCAUGUUGGCAUACAAUGACCAGUUUUUAACAGUAAAAACAAAUGGAAUUUUUAAUA
rfam:Gossypium hirsutum cultivar TM-1 chromosome 19, whole genome shotgun sequence